rnacentral:rRNA from 1 species
GAAUUGUUCACAAUGGGCGCAAGCCUGAUGACGCAACGCCGCGUGGGGGAUGAAGGUCUUCGGAUCGUAAACCCCUGUCGCAUGGGACGAAUGACCUCUGGGCUCAUCCCCAGAGGAAAGACGGUACCGUUAAAGGAAGCCAGGGCUAACUCUGGGCCAGCAGCCGCGGUAAUACAGAGGUGGCAAGCGUUGUUCGGAAUUACUGGGCGUAAAGGGCGCGUAGGCGGCCAUCUAAGUCAGACGUGAAAUCCCCCGGCUUAACCUGGGAACUGCGUCUGAUACUGGACGGCUUGAGUAUGGGAGAGGGAUGUAGAAUUCCAGGUGUAGCGGUGAAAUGCGUAGAUAUCUGGAGGAAUACCGGUGGCGAAGGCGGCAUCCUGGACCAUUACUGACGCUGAGGCGCGAAAGCUAGGGGAGCAAACGGG